AGUGAACGCUGGCGGUAGGCCUAACACAUGCAAGUCGAACGGGAGCACAGUGAGAGGUUGCGCUUAGGUGUGUCGAGUGGCGGACGGGGGAGUUAGACUCCGGAAUCUACUUUUUCGUGGGGGCUAACGUAGGGAAACUUACGCUAAUACCGCAUACGACCUACGUGUGAAAGCAGGCGAUCUUCGGACCUUUCGCUAUUGAAUGAGCCGAUGUCGGAUUAGCUCGUUGGCGGGGUAAAGGGCUACCAAGGCGACGAUGCGUAUCGGGUCUGAGAGGAUGAUCAGACAGACUGGAAGUGAGGAAGGGUAGAGACUCCGACGGGGGGCCGCAGUCGGGAAUAUUGGACAAGGCGGGAGAGCGUGAUACAGGAAUAUCGGGUGGGGGAAGAAGGAGUUCGGGUGGGAAAGCCGUGUUGUUGGGAAAGAAAAGAAGCAGGUUAAUACCGGGCUGUAAUGACAGUACCGAAAGAAUAAGCACCGGCUAACUUCGUG
rnacentral:rRNA from 1 species